rnacentral:rRNA from 1 species
GACAGAGGCCCCGAGCGUUAGGCGGAAUCACCGGGCUUAAAGCGUGUGUAGGCGGACCGGUAAGUACCUUGUGAAAUCCCACGGCUCACCCGUGGAACUGCUGGGUAUACUGCCGGUCUCGGGCCAACUAGGGGCAACUGGAACAAGCGGUGGAGCGGUGAAAUGCGUAGAUAUCAUUUGGAACGCCAAUGGUGAAAACAACUCGCUGGGGAAGUGCUGACGCUGAGACACGAAAGCCAGGGGAGCGAACGGG